UUCGCAUUGAGUUUCGGCACGUGUCGACUUUGAUCAGUAAUUGCGUUAGGGAGCAGUUGUUAUCGUUCGACUUUGCAAAGCUCGGAUAAGUAGUUACCAAGACUUACAUUAGGCGAGACGACUGGCGUGUCUACUCGACUAAUGUUUGCCUGCUCAGCUGGUGUCCGUUCUCCUUCGUUCCGAAUCGUUCCCUACUUUCGUAGGCAGAGACCCACUAACAACAGGCUCUUUUGAUUGUCACGCUGUAAAAACGAUCAAAUGAUGUUAUGUCAUCAAUACCGAUUCCCGGGUUCUCUCCAGUUUCAAACGCACGCAUAGCAGCGGUCAACUACUCUCGUUUGGGCAUAAAUCAUGUCUGGCGCGGUUUGUAGAAGUCGUUCACAAUUCAAAAAAGUUGUCUUCGAUUGGGGUGUUAUCCAACCGGAUUUAGGAGCUCAAGAUGUUACUUCACUAUUGGCCUGUGCUAUCUUUUGUAUUCACCCAGGCUGCUCAACACUAACUGUUCUGCUCGACGAUGAGCGCUUUAUCUGCCAAAUGAGUAGAAAGAAGGGAACGUGUAUGGAGAAGGAGGAGGCUUUUAUGAAUCCAGGUUCACGGAUGUAUCAGAAAAAGUGUUGAUGCAUCACAGAUAAAGGAAUUGCUUCUUUUCAAAUUCAGUUUUGGCAUUUAACAACAUGUUCUCGUUAAUAAUUGUCUUACGAUGUGUGAUCGAUGACUCAGAGGCAUUCAACCAAUUGUUUAUAUACCACAUGAUCAACGCAUAGACGACUUCAUUCGGUCUAGUUCGUCUACAAGAUGUCCAAUGUUAUCUAAUUAAAUUGUGCCACACUAGUGUACAAUGUUCUUUCGGCAUUUUUUCAGAUAAAAAGAUACACGCAAUAAAUUACUUUUGAAUAAAUUUCACUUUUCUUCAUAGGCGAUUAGCAUUCUUAAAUAUCGUUUAGUUCAAUCCCUGCCUUUCUUACCCCCAAUAAAAACGGAAAGGAAUGGUUUUGAAAUCAGAAUGCAUGCAACAUUUCCUUUGAUUUUGGUAAGCUAUCAUGAACAGCCGAUACCUUGGAAACGAUUAUUGUUUUAUAGAACCGAUGUAACUUUUCGCCCUUAUUGUCAAAGCUCGCGGGUAAGAUACAAUAUGUCUUACUAUCAUGGACCAGGCAGGCAUUAUGCCGAAAUAGUCUCCAAGUAUGAAAUUUCGGUUCCUGUCAAGAAGACACAUGAACACCAUUGUGUUAUCAGUGGUAAUGGAAAAAUAUUCGAUUUUACAACAGGCAGACGUAUUGGGCGUCUAAUGAUUCCAGCUAAAGAGAAGGGAACAAUAUGUAAAAUGGCAUUCAGCGUUGAUCUAGCUACAAUCGCUUAUCAUACGUUGCUUCAUUCAAGAAAAUUGUGGCGGCUCUCCUUGUAUAAUGUACAGUGGGAAUUCAAGAAUAACGAAUGGAUAUGUACAAUGUUACAUAAUUACACUGUCUACAACUACCUUCCUGGGGUUAAAGGAGCAAAGCUAAUCAUCAUUGAACUGCGACCUUUAUUCGAAUAUGGCGCUACUUUUCACUUAGGAUUUCCAGAUUCUCUAAAGUUUAUGAUUUUUCCUGAUAUACGCAUUAGAACAGCACCGCAAAAGUAUCACACACUGUUAAUAACAGGCCACCCGAUACAUCUAUGGACGAAUUACAAAAGUCGAAUAUUCCUUUAUCGUUUUGAUUCAACUCAGUCAUAUAUAUGCAUUGUCGAAUUGUUUUUAUGUUUGUCAAGAACCAACUCGAUUCUGAAUGAAAAGGGUGAGUAUUUGGUAAUUCGGCGUAAUGUUGAAAUUCAAAGGUCGAUGGCAGUGAAUAGGAAACGAUUUGUUCGACGUAUGGUAUGGGUUGACCAACAGUGGAACAUAUGUCAAGUAUACUAUCACACGUCUGAUGGGCACCAUGUGUAUAAGGGAAUUAAUGUAUACAGUAGAACCGAUAAAUAAGGAUAAUGAGGGUAAUGCACAAAUGACCUCAGCGCAACACUUUCACUAAGCACCGGAAAAUAUUCACGCUCAAAUCAGACUACCAAGCUUGCCAACUAAACCUUCGAACCUCCAUGAAGUUUAAACAUGGAUGCAGUUCAUGUAAAUGACGAAUUUUGGACCUCUCAAAGUUUAGUACUGAUGCAUACGCCAUAAUACGCUAAGUUCGACGUUGAUUGUUCGUCUUUUAUUAAUCUACUGUAUAUAUCAAUACUAGAACUGGGAAAAGUCUCUUUAUGUCUACCACCGCCUUAACCGCUGGAUGGAACCUCCUAAUAUUUCGUAUGUACAUGUAGAUUUUAUCCGCGAAGCAAUUCAGCUACGACUCAAUCCAUAUUUUCAGCGCGAAAUGUGUUUUUCGUGUGUUUUUUUCGUAUGAACAUCCUGAGAUCGUGUGUUUUUUCGUAUGAACAGAGCCCGGCACCUGAAAUAUACAUGCAAGAUCGCCACUACAUUUCUAGGAAAAGUGAAGACACUGGCCUAUCACGCCAGCGACCUGAAUUCGAUAACCGUAGCAGUUAAUUUUCCCCCCUAUUUUUUUCCGUGAUUCUUAUCGUUUUUUAGUGAAAAUAUAUAAAUGUAUAUUGUGUAUAUCCUCAAGAUUCGGAGUUCUAACGUCACUAGUUGGGACCGCCUACAUGAUAAGUGUGCAUGGUCAGGUUCGGUGCAGAUCAUUGUGACUGGCUGGAACAGAAAGAAAGGGGACGUACUUUGAAGAGUAAACAGACCACCACUGACCCAAUCUGUCUGUGGUCAAUUUGUUAUUGAUCCUUUUGUGUGGUGGCGAUUCGGCCUGGCGACUCGAUAUGCGGAAGGUAUACAGGGUGUUUCAGAAAACAGUAUAUUGCAGAAGCGUUCAUCUCGGCAAGAGGCAAACGCCCGAUUUUUUCGACGAUUCCAUGAUCCUGUUUUCAAUUGGCAGGCGUCUAUAUAUAGGCCUUGCACUAAACCAUUAACAGGAUUUUUGGAGGCAAUGCAUGAAAAAUCCGUUUGUGCCUCAGAAUUCCAGUCAUUACGCCUU